GCGCGAUUAGUUCAGUGGUUAGAAUCCUCGCCUCCCAUUGUCUUUCUAGGCAAACAAACAGCGAGUGACCCGAGUUCGAAUCUCGGAUCGCGCA